rnacentral:rRNA from 1 species
GGUCAAGUUUUUAAGGGCGCACGGUGGAUGCCUUGGCAUUGGGAGCCGAAGAAGGACGUGGGAAUCUGCGAUAAGCCUGGUGGAGUCGAUAACCGGACGUUGAGACCAGGAUUUCCGAAUGGGGAAACCCCGCACCAUGUCAUGUGGUGCGACCCGCAGCUGAACACAUAGGCUGCGUGGAGGGAACGCGGGGAAGUGAAACAUCUCAGUACCCGCAGGAAGAGAAAACAAAAGUGAUUCCGUUAGUAGUGGCGAGCGAACGCGGAUGGGGCUAAACCGAGCCAUGUGUGAUAGCCGGCGGGCGUUGCAUGGUCGGGGUUGUGGGACUUUCACGUUCCAGUUCUGCCGGACUGGUGAAGUGAGGUGCGGGCGCAUAGGCGAAUCGGCUUGAAUGCCGGACCAUAGAGGGUGAGAGUCCCGUAGUGCGAAUGUGUUCCGCCGCUUUGUGAGAGCAUCCCAAGUAGGACGGGGCCCGAGAAAUCCCGUUUGAAUCCGCCAGGACCACCUGGUAAGCCUAAAUACUACCCAAUGACCGAUAGCGGACAAGUACCGUGAGGGAAUGGUGAAAAGUACCCCGGGAGGGGAGUGAAAUAGUACCUGAAACCGUGCGCUUACAAUCCGUUGGAGCCUCCUUGUUGGGGUGACAGCGUGCCUUUUGAAGAAUGAGCCUGCGAGUUAGUGUUACGUCGCGAGGUUAACCCGUGUGGGGAAGCCGUAGCGAAAGCGAGUCUGAAUAGGGCGAGUCAGUGGCGUGAUCUAGACCCGAAGCGAAGUGAUCUACCCAUGGCCAGGUUGAAGCGCGUGUAAGAGCGCGUGGAGGACCGAACCCACUUCAGUUGAAAAUGGAGGGGAUGAGCUGUGGGUAGGGGUGAAAGGCCAAUCAAACUUCGUGAUAGCUGGUUCUCCCCGAAAUGCAUUUAGGUGCAGCGUUGCGUGUUUCUUGCCGGAGGUAGAGCUACUGGAUGGCUAAUGGGCCCUACAAGGUUACUGACGUCAGCCAAACUCCGAAUGCCGGCAAGUGAGAGCGCAGCAGUGAGACUGUGGGGGAUAAGCUUCAUAGUCGAGAGGGAAACAGCCCAGAACGCCAACUAAGGCCCCUAAGCGUGUGCUAAGUGGAAAAGGAUGUGGAGUUGCGAAGACAACCAGGAGGUUGGCUUAGAAGCAGCCACCCUUGAAAGAGUGCGUAAUAGCUCACUGGUCAAGUGAUUCCGCGCCGACAAUGUAGCGGGGCUCAAGCACACCGCCGAAGUUGCGUCAUUCAUAUUUUUGGCAGGCCUUCGUGGUCCAGCCGUGUGGAUGGGUAGGGGAGCGUCGUGUGGGCAGUGAAGUCGCGGUGUAAACCAGCGGUGGAGCCCACACGAGUGAGAAUGCAGGCAUGAGUAGCGAAUGACGGGUGAGAAACCCGUCCGCCGAAUGAUCAAGGGUUCCAGGGUCAAGCUAAUCUGCCCUGGGUAAGUCGGGACCUAAGGCGAGGCCGACAGGCGUAGUCGAUGGACAACGGGUUGAUAUUCCCGUACCGGUGAAAAACCGCCCAUAUUGACCUGGUGAUGCUAACCACCCCAAGUGCCCACCAUCCUUCCUUCGGGAAGGGUACCGGGUGUGCGGCGUGGGACCCGAACCAGGGAGGUAAGCGUAUUAACAGGUGUGACGCAGGAAGGUAGCCGAGCCAGGCAAUGGAAUUGACCUGGUCCAAGGAUGUAGGGCGAGUCAUAGGCAAAUCCGUGACUCAC